rnacentral:rRNA from 1 species
GACCUCGAAUCGGUUCAGACAAACUGCUAAAUUGAAGCAUCUUAGUCAGCGAAGG